GACGAACCGUGCGAACGUUGUUCGGAAUCACUGGGCUUAAAGGGCGCGUAGGCGGGCUGUCAAGUUUGGGGUGAAAUCCUCCGGCUCAACCGGAGAAUGGCCUUGGAUACUGACGGUCUCGAGGGAGAUAGGGGCACGUGGAACUAAGGGUGGAGCGGUGAAAUGCAUUGAUAUCCUUAGGAACUCCGGUGGCGAAGGCGACGUGCUGGAUCUCUUCUGACGCUGAGGCGCGAAAGCUAGGGGAGCAAACGGG
rnacentral:rRNA from 1 species